AUACUCAUAAAAAUAUAUAUAUAGAGAGAGAGAGAGAGAGAGAGAGAGUUUUGCUAGAAUGCUAUCAGUAGUAAACGGCUUGGUUUACUACCGAUUUGUUUCCGAUGAUAGAGCUUCCAAAUUGAUGAACAGCACCGUUAAACAUGAUCUAAACUAUUUAAACUAUCUAGAAAUCAAAUUUCACACAUUUUCGAUAUUGUUCUCUUGUCCAUCAAGUGAACAGAAAAAUGAAUGGCUGGAAAUAAAUAUCCUUUAAAAAGCGAUGAUAUAAUUUUUAUAUUUGAGAUCUAGAGUCUAAAUCUUAUUUUAAAUAGUUUAAAGAAUUGUCUAACAAAAAUUUAGUUGAUUUGAACUCUUCUAUACCGUUAAACUUGCAAACGCACCAUAUCGGCCAUUAAAAUUAUAGAUUUUGUGACCUUUGAUCGUUCAGUUAGUGAUGUCAAAAAAAUCAUGAAAUUUGAUUUCUAGAUAAUUUAAAUGGUCUAAAUUAUGUUCAACGACACCGAUCGUCGAUUUGGAAGCUCGAUCAUGAAAAAUAAAUCGGUAGUAAACCGAGCAAUUUACUACCGAUAGUAGCCCAGUCAAACUCUAUAUAUAUAUAUAUAUAUAUAUAUAUAUAUAUAUAUAUAUAUAUAUAGUGGGCUGGUAUGCUUAUGGAAGCACGGAGCCCUCCGUACUUCCAAAUUGUUUUCGAUGCUCGGACUUUCGAAUCGACGAUCGGCUCCGUUAGAGUUGAUCUAGAGUAUUUGAAGUAUCUACAAAAUAAAUUUUGUGAUUUUACGAUAUCAUUUGCCUAGUGAUCAAAGGGGCUCAAAAUCAAUAAUUUUAAUGGCCGUAGUGAGCCGGUUGCAAGUUUAACGGUAUAGAAAUAUCCAAAUCACAUGAAAUUUUGAUAGAAAAUUCUUUAUACCAUAUAAAACAUGAUCAAUAACUUUGAUCUAAAAUUUUAAUGUCAUAUCAUCAUAUUUUAUAAGAUUUUUAUUUUUAGCCGUUGAUUUUGAGCCACUUCGAUCACUAGGCAAAUGAUAUCGGAAAAUCGCUAAAUUUAUUUUCUAUAUACUUCAAAUACUCUAGAUCAAGUCUAAUGGAGCCGAUCGUCGAUUCGAAAGUCCGAACAUCGAAAACAAAGUGAAAGCACGGAGCCCUCCGUGCUUCCAUAAGCAUCCUAGCCGCACUCUAUAUAUAUAUAUAUAUAUAUAUAUAUAGUCCGGCUGCUAUAUUGUCGAUAACACNGUUUAUUUUAAGAAUAGAGAUGGGAUAGCAAUUUUAAAUUUAUAUCGAAUUAUAUCGAUAUAUUUCAGAUAUUUAAAAAUUACUAUUUUUGAAUAAGAAAUUUAUGUUUGGAUAUAAAGAAAGAAUCCAUUUCCGAGUUGCAAGUUUGCAACUGUGUAAGUAUUAUCGUACCUGCCGAACCAAAAGGAUUAUGGGGCGCACCUUUCUCUUUCCUUCGCUUUCUCUUUUCCUUUCAGUGGAUAGAUGUCGCUUUCUGAUAGAUGGAUGGUAUAUAUAGUCCUGUUCCUGUAGUGGUGGAUUACUCAGUUACAAAAUUGGAUAUUUAUUUGUCUAGUAAUUAAAUUGCCUUUACUUGGUUCACAUAUUUAUUUUUUCAUUUGAUAAUUUAGAAAUUACACUUAGUUAUUCUAUAAUUUUAUAUUUAUUUUUUGUUGAAAAUUUUACUAUCCAAUAAGAUAAGAAAGUAAAAAUUUUCGUUAACCACAUAAUACUUAUGUGUAAAUUUUUAAACCAAAUAAUAAUAUAAUAAAAAUGUGCUAAAUUAGUGUAUAGUUAAGUGCAAUUUUUUUAACCAUAGAAUAAUAAUGUAAAAAAUAAGCUAAAUCACAUGACGGUAAAUUGAAGCGUACCCUUCCAAUUAUAGAGAGAUUAAUACUAUAUAUACACAAAAAAUAAGUAUAAGUAUUACAUAUUCUGUUCAAAGAUUUAGACGCUCUUUCUCAAAUUUUGAUAUUGUUAAUAAAAAAAAUAAUUAUAUAUAUAUAUAUAUAUAUAUAUAUAUAUAUGUGUGUGUGUGUGUGUGUUUGUGUUCGGCUACUAUGUUAUCGGUAGCACGAAGCGCUCCGUACUACCAAGUUGUUUUCGAUGAUGUGGCUUCCAAAUCGACGAUCGGCUUCGUUAAAUGAUCUACACUAUUGAAAGUAUUUAGAAACUAAAUUUCAGAUUUUUUCGACAUCAUUUGACUAGUGAUCAAAAGAUCUCAAAAUUGACAAUUUUAAUAGCCGAUGUGGUGUGUUUGUGAGUUUAACGGUGUAAAACAAUCCAAAUGCGAUAAAAAUUUUAUAGAAAAUUAAUUUCACUAUUUAGAGUAAGAUCAGUAUAUCUGAUAUUGAAUUUAAAUCUUUUAUCAUUACUUUUCAUAAGAUUUUUAUUUUCAGCCGUUCAAUUUUAUACUACUUGUUUGAUAGGUAAAUGAUAUCGAAAAAUUAUAAAAUUUAGUUUCUAAAUACUUUCAAUAGAGUAGAUCAAGUCUAAUGGAGCCGAUCGUCGAUUUGGAAGCCACAUCAUCGAAAACAACUUUGUAGCACGGAGCGCUCUGUGCUACCGAUAGUAUAGUAGCCUAGUUAUAU
rnacentral:lncRNA from 1 species